GCCCGCAUGGCUCAGUGGUAGAGCGUGUCACUAGUAAUAGUUAAUGACAAGGUCGUCAGUUCGAUUCUGGCUGUGGGCA